GAUGAACGCUGGCGGCGUGCCUAAUACAUGCAAGUCGAGCGAACGGACGAGAAGCUUGCUUCUCUGAUGUUAGCGGCGGACGGGUGAGUAACACGUGGAUAACCUACCUAUAAGACUGGGAUAACUUCGGGAAACCGGAGCUAAUACCGGAUAAUAUUUUGAACCGCAUGGUUCAAAAGUGAAAGACGGUCUUGCUGUCACUUAUAGAUGGAUCCGCGCUGCAUUAGCUAGUUGGUAAGGUAACGGCUUACCAAGGCAACGAUGCAUAGCCGACCUGAGAGGGGGAUCGGCCACCCGGGAACUGAGACCCGUCCCAACCCCCUACGGGAGGCAGCAGGAGGGAAUUUUCCGAAAGGGGCGAAACCCUGACGGAGCAACGCCGCGGGGGUGAUGAAGGUUUUCGGAUCGUAAAACUCUUUUAUUAGGGAAAAAAAAAUGUGUAAGUAACUGUGCACAUCUUGACGGUACCUAAUCAGAAAGCCACGGCUAACUACGU
rnacentral:rRNA from 1 species